CGGCACGGGUGAGUAAUACAUCGGAACGUGUCUUCUAGUGGGGGAUAACUGCCCGAAAGGGCAGCUAAUACCGCAUGAGACCUGAGGGUGAAAGCGGGGGAUCGCAAGACCUCGCGCUGGAAGAGCGGCCGAUGUCCGAUUAGCUAGUUGGUGAGGUAAUGGCCCACCAAGGCGACGAUCGGUAGCCGGACUGAGAGGUUGAACGGCCACAUUGGGACUGAGACACGGCCCAG
rnacentral:rRNA from 1 species